rnacentral:piRNA from 1 species
UUCCUGCCUGUUAAAGGCAAUGCCUAUUCCUU